CCUACGGGAGGCAGCAGUGGGGAAUAUUGCACAAUGGACGAAAGUCUGAUGCAGCAACGCCGCGUGGAGGAUGACACAUUUCGGUGCGUAAACUCUUUUUAUAUAGGAAGAUAAUGACGGUACUAUAUGAAUAAGCACCGGCUAACUCCGUGCCAGCAGCCGCGGUAA
rnacentral:rRNA from 1 species